UGAGGCCCAAUGUUCUCUGGCCUUCAAACUAAAAACAUCAGCUUCUCCUAGAAGCUUCCUUUGGUCAGAAGGCAUAAUGAGUCUGAGAAUGGAUGUGCACGAGAGGAAAGAAAGAGCGAAGACUUCUCUGAAGCAAUACACAAGCGGGGUGACAAUGAAGCUUGUUCCAAUGGCUGUCCGGUGGGAGAGAAGGAGAAGAUUAAAGAAGUAGAGAAGAAAAGCUUGUAAUUGGAGGAAUCUCUCAUUUGCAGUGAAUUGUUCUCUCAACCAGGGAAUCUUGCUGCUAUCCAAUGCUGCAAAAGCGUGCCUCCACACAGUCAAACCUCCUCACAUGCCAAGCCACAGUAUUAUCCCUUGUGAUGGCACAGUGCAUUUGGUUGAAAGGAGUAAAAAAAAUGAAACCUAAUCACGUGAUAUGUGUACGUAUCUCAUGCACGCUUUUUUAAAUUAUCGUUGAAUUAUUGUAAAAGCACAGGAGUAGAUACGAGUUUUCACUACAAAUCAGCGCAAAUCUUUGCUCA